CCUACGGGAGGCAGCAGUGGGGAAUAUUGCACAAUGGGGGGAACCCUGAUGCAGCGACGCCGCGUGGGUGAAGAAGCGCCUCGGCGCGUAAAGCCCUGUCAGCAGGGAAGAAAAUGACGGUACCUAAAGAAGAAGCCCCGGCUAACUACGUGCCAGCAGCCGCGGUAAUACGUAGGGGGCAAGCGUUAUCCGGAUUUACUGGGUGUAAAGGGGGCGCAGGCGGGGAUGCAAGCCAGGAGUGAAAGCCCGGGGCCUAACCCCGGGACUGCUUUUGGAACUGCGUGGCUGGAGUGCGGGAGGGGUAGGUGGAAUUCCUGGUGUAGCGGUGAAAUGCGUAGAGAUCAGGAGGAACA
rnacentral:rRNA from 1 species